rnacentral:misc_RNA from 1 species
GAUGAAGAACGCAGCGAAAUGCGAUAAGUAAUGUGAAUUGCAGAAUUCAGUGAAUCAUCGAAUCUUUGAACGCACAUUGCGCCCGCCAGUAUUCUGGCGGGCAUGCCUGUUCGAGCGUCAUUUCAACCAUCAAGCCCCCGGCUUGUGUUGGGGACCUGCGGCUGCCGCAGGCCCUGAAAACCAGUGGCGGGCUCGCUAGUCACUCCGAGCGUAGUAAUACAUCUCGCUCAGGGCGUGCUGCGGGUUCCGGCCGUUAAAAAGCCUUAUUUACCCAAGGUUGACCUCGGAUCAGGUAGGACUACCCGCUGAACUUAAGCAUAUCAAUAAGCGGAGGA